rnacentral:tRNA from 1 species
GUUCUUGUAGUUGAAUUACAACGGUGGUUUUUCAAGUCAUUGGUUUCGGUUAAAACCCGAGCGGGAAUU